UCAGGCAGCAAGAUGGAGCUCUGGGCAGAUGGCAUUCAGGGCAAAAUGGACCUCGAAGUGAUUGCAGCUCUGAAGAAGUUGGUUCUCUGAGCAGAUGGUCCUCAGAGCAAGAUGUAGCUCCAUGCAGAUGGCGCUCAGGGCAAAAUGGAGCUCGAAGUGAUUGGAUGUUGCUCAGAGUAAAACAGAGCUCUGAGCAGAUGUGACUCAGCAAGAUGGAGCUCGAAGCAUAUGGAGCUCCAAGCAAGAUGGACCACUUUGAAGAUGAUGUUAAAGGCAUGAUGGACCUCAAAGUGAUUGGAUCUCUUAGCAAGGUAUAACACUUGGAGCAGUUAGAGCUUUCAACAAGUUGGAACUUGGAGCAGCUGGAUCUCUAAGAAGAUGGUGCUCUGAGCAAGAUGGAGCUUGGAGCAGAUGGAGCUUGGAGUUAUUUGAGCUCCGUGAGUAAGGCGGAGCUCAGAGCAGAUGGAGCUAAAAGCAAGAUGGAAGUUGGAGCAGAUGUUGCCUGGAGUAUGAUGGAGCUCGGAGCAGUUGGAGCUCUGAGCACAUGGAGUUAUAAGCAAGAAGGAGCUCGUAGCAGAUGGAACUUUGAGCAAGAUGAAGGUCUGAGCAAGAUGGAACUCCGAGGAGAUGGAGCUCUGAGCGAGAUAGAGUUUGGAGCAGAUGGAGUUCUGAGCAUGAUGGCACUUCGACCGAGAUAGAACUCAGAGAGAUGGAGCUCCAAGCAAUAUGGCGCUCUGGUCAAGGUUUAGUUUUGAGUAGAUGAUGCUCAGAGCAGAUGGUGCUUGGAGCCAUGUGGACCUUAGAGCAGAGGCAACUCUGAGCAGGAUGGAUCUCAGAUCACAUGGAGCUCCAAGCAAGGUGGAGCUCGGAUUAGAUGGAGCUAUGAGCAAGAUGGAGCUCAGAGCAGAUAGAGCUCUGAUCAAGAUGAAGUCCUUGUGAAGGUUUAAGUUGGAACAGAUGUAGCUCAGGGCAAAAGGUGUUUAGCGUAAGAUAGAACUCGGAGUGAUUGGAGCUCCGAGCAAGAUGGAGUUGGGAGCAGAUGGAGCUUGGAGCAAGAUGGAGCUUGGAGCAAGAUGGACCUCUGAUCAGAUGGAGACACAUUAUUUGUGGACAACCAAGUCCCUACAUGUCUCCUCUGGACACCAUGGGUUAAAUCUUCCAAGAGACAGCAACAGUCGUCAAAUCCUCCUCACCAUGACAGGAAGCAAGGAGGAAGGACCCUGAAGACCCUCGAUGUCCCUUCUCAGCAGCAAGCAGCUUCAGAGAAUGACCUCUGUCCCAUCUCCCAAAAGAUUUCUGAGCCCCAACUCCUUGAGUGAGAAAUGUAAGAGUAGACAGUCAAUGAGCAGGCAUGGAGGGGGGUAUCCAUGUUGGAAAGAAUGCCCAGGAACACCUUUUAGGAUGCCCAGCACUCACUCCAUGGUCGAAUUGUCAGAAUAUUGUUAACUAGAUCAUGAUAAGGAAGGAAAAAGGCAAAAGAGGAAUUCCUGAGAGCUGAGCAGGCACAAUUAGUACAAAAUUCAUGGCUAUACCUUCUGGGGUGGCAGUAAUAAGCAGUGCCACCAUUAGAUAGGAUUCACAUUGAUCACUGGUUCCAGUGCAUGUGCAUUAAACACAAUAAGGGAGGAUCCCCCAAACUUUGGUGAGAACUGGGUGAAAAAAGAACCGAGACAAUAGAAGAUCACAAUGCAGAAUGUCUUGGGGGUGUUUCUAGCAGGGUCAGCCCACUCCUCUCUUGGAGUGUUCUUAUAUUUCUCCAAUUAAACUUUUGCUUGCUUUAC